rnacentral:rRNA from 1 species
UACGGGGGGAGCAAGCGUUGUCCGGAAUCAUUGGGCGUAAAGCGCGCGUAGGCGGUCAGGUAAGUCCGGUGUGAAAGUCAAAGGCUCAACCUUUGAAUGCCGCUGGAUACUGCCUGACUUGAGUCCGGAAGGGGCGAGUGGAAUUCCUGGUGUAGCGGUGAAAUGCGCAGAUAUCAGGAGGAACACCAACGGCGAAGGCAGCUCGCUGGAACGGUACUGACGCUGAGGCGCGAAAGCGUGGGGAGCGAACAGG